GAGGAUAUGGCGGAAUUGGUAGACGCGAUGGACUUAAAAUCCAUUGGUUUAUUAAACCUUGAGGGUUCAAGUCCCUCUAUCCUCA
rnacentral:tRNA from 2 species